rnacentral:rRNA from 1 species
AUUGAACGCUGGCGGUAUGCUUAACACAUGCAAGUCGAACGGUAACGGUCCUUCGGGAGCCGACGAGUGGCGGACGGGUGCGUAACGCGUAGGGAUCUGCCUGUUAGUGGGGGACAACGUGGGGAAACUCACGCUAAUACCGCAUACGCCCUACGGGGGAAAGGAGGGGACCUUCGGGCCUUUCGCUAACAGAUGAGCCUGCGUUGGAUUAGCUAGUUGGUAGGGUAAAGGCCUACCAAGGCGACGAUCCAUAGCUGGUCUGAGAGGACGAUCAGCCACACUGGGACUGGGACACGGCCCAGACUCCUACGGGAGGCAGCAGUGGGGAAUAUUGGACAAUGGGCGCAAGCCUGAUCCAGCAAUACCGCGUGUGUGAAGAAGGCCAGAGGGUUGUAAAGCACUUUUAAUCGGGAGGAAUAGCUGUUGGUUAAUACCCGGCAGUCUGACAUUACCGAUAGAAAAAGCACCGGCUAACUCCGUGCCAGCAGCCGCGGUAAUAC